rnacentral:misc_RNA from 1 species
GAACUGCGAUAAGUAAUGUGAAUUGCAGAAUUCAGUGAAUCAUCGAGUCUUUGAACGCACAUUGCGCCCCCUGGCAUUCCGGGGGGCAUGUCUGUCCGAGCGUCAUUGCUGCCCUCAAGCCCGGCUUGUGUGUUGGGUCGUCGUCCCCCCCGGGGGACGGGCCCGAAAGGCAGCGGCGGCACCGUGUCCGGUCCUCGAGCGUAUGGGGCUUUGUCACCCGCUCGAUUAGGGCCGGCCGGGCGCCAGCCGGCGUCUCCAACCUUAUUUUUCUCAGGUUGACCUCGGAUCAGGUAGGGAUACCCGCUGAACUUAAGC